rnacentral:rRNA from 1 species
UACGUAGGGACCGAGCGUUGUCCGGAUUCAUUGGCGUAAAGAGCUCGUAGGCGCCAGGUAGGUCUGCUGUGAAAACUCGAGGCUCAACCUCGAGACGUCGGCGGAAACCAUCUGGCUAGAGUCCGGAAGAGGAGAGUGGAAUUCCUGGUGUAGCGGUGAAAUGCGCAGAUAUCAGGAAGAACACCCGUGGCGAAGGCGGCUCUCUGGGACGGUACUGACGCUGAGACGCGAAAGCGUGGGGAGCGAACAGG